CUACCUAAUAGUUCGGGAUACCUAUCAACUAAGGGAAUACCCUUGGUGUAAUAAUACCGAAUAAAUAUAAUGUUUCCCUUCUUUAGGAAAACUAAGAAUUGAAAUAUUAUACAAAGAUUAUAUUGCUAUUAGAUGAGCCUGCGUAGGAUUAGGUAGUUGGUGAGGUAAUGGCUCACCAAGCCGAGGAUCCUUAGCUGGUCUGAGAGGAUGAUCAGCCACACUGGGACCGAGACACGGCCCAG
rnacentral:rRNA from 1 species